GAGGAGAAAUGGAACCAAAGGAGACAGAGGAAGUGAGCUGUCUAUGUGAGCCCUUUAGUCAAACUCUUUGUAAUGCAAAAGAUGAAGACCUCUGAGAAAAAGAUACAAACACAGACACCCACCAAGGAAACAGGAGAAGAGGCCCAUCAAGAUGACAGUAAUGGACAGGUAAAUCGUUUUGACAUAUUAUUAAUGCAAAAAGCUUUGAUGCACUAACGUAGACCUUAAACAUUUCAUUUGGUAAAGCAGCAUGCAGAGACAUCUCUGGCAACCACCUUGCAUGAUGCUGCAUCUCAGCUAUCAACAUUGUGGCAAAAAGAGGACACAGAAGUGGUGGUAUCUGUGGUUCCUUCUCAAAUUAGGGGCCAAAGCUUUGUUAUUCACCACAGUAAGCUGAGAUCACUUCGCUCUCAUCAGUGGCUUACAGGAGCGGUACGAUGUGUUACAGUGAAA